UGGGAAGUAUUGGACAAUGGGCGCAAGCCUGAUCCAGCCAUGCCGCGUGGGUGAUGAAGGCCCUAGGGUUGUAAAGCCCUUUCGGCGGGAAGAUAAUGACGGUACCUGCAGAAGAAGCCCCGCCGCAACUACGUGCCAGCAGCCGCGGUAAUACGUAGGGCGAAGCGUUGUCCGGAUUUAUUGGGCGUAAAGAGCUCGUAGGUGGUUUGGUAAGUCGGAUGUGAAAUCUCCAGGCUCAACCUGGAGGGGUCAUUCGAUACUGCCAUGACUAGAGGUCGGUAGGGGAGUGUGGAAUUCCUGGUGGAGCGGUGAAAUGCGCAGAUAUCAGGAGGAACACCCGUAGCGAAGGCGGCACUCUGGGCCGAUUCUGACACUGAGGAGCGAAAGCGUGGGGAGCAAACA
rnacentral:rRNA from 1 species